rnacentral:lncRNA from 1 species
GCAAAGCUGGGGUACCAGUCACCCAGCCACGCUCUAGCGUGGUAGCCAAGAAGAUGGACCCCGAGUGGGAGGCAGAGAGACAAGAGGUGGAUGAAGCAGAGCAAGCGUGAGCAUGGUGAAGAGAAGACGGAGCCCCGCGCUGGGAGAGGAACGCUUCAGUCCGAGUUCCAUUCUGCACCCAAGGCUCCCCUUGGUCCUCCUGGGAACCAGGGUGCCCCUUAGUGGUGGUGGCCCAGGAGAACCCGACCAAGGCAGGAGCGCCCCCUCCUGGAAGAGCCUCGCUUCAACGCAUCAUCAUUCCCGGCCGGCAGCAGGGGCGACGCCAGCAAGGCCGGCGACUCAGAGCCAGCUUGGCCCGUUCGCCCCGCCCCUUCCCGGUGUCCGCCCCGCCCCUUUCCCGGUGUCCGCCCCGCCUCCUUCCCGGUGUCCGCCCCGCCCCCUUCCCUGUGUCCGCCCUGCCCGCUUCACUGUGGUCCUGCCUCUGG